rnacentral:lncRNA from 1 species
CCCGGGCCCUCCUUCCUAUCAUUUUAGGCAUUUAAGUUGUUUGUUUCUACUCUAGAGGAGGGGCACUCAGCUGCAGGCUGGCAUGUACUCUUUAAGGAGGCUUCUUACGAAUUUCUAUUCUAGAGGAGAGAUGCUCGGCUACAGGCAGACGUGCUCACUUUAAGGAGGCUUCUUACGUAUUUCUAUUCUAGAGAAGAGAUGCUCAGCUACCGGCAGGUCUGCAUGCUUUAAGGAGGCUUCUUACCUGUUUCUGCUCUAGAGGAGAGGUGCUCAGCUGCAGGCAGGCAUGUGUACUUUAAGGAGGCUUCUUAAGUGUUUCUAUUCUAGAGGAGAGGUGCUCAGCUGCAGACAGGCAUGUGCGCUUUAAGAAGGCUUCUUGUUCUUAAAGCUCUUUCUAGGUGCUGCAGGCAGCUGUGCCCACACUUUCUCUCCCAGGCCUGCACCACACACUCUUUCCAAGGCAUUUUAAGGAGGCUUUCCACUUCCAGAAGCAGAUUGAAGAGACCAUACCUCAAAAGGAGCACUCUUCAGUUCGGUCUGAGGCACAAGCAGCAAAGUUAGACACAAACUUAAAGAACUAUUUGCCUGCACAGAACCAGAGGAGUGGAAGGACAGCAUGGACUGAGCAUUAGAACAUCCAGCCAGCCAGAUACUGAGUAGGGACCAUCACUCAUUGAACCUUUUCAUUAGCCACCCCAAGACUGGGAAUGCUGGAAGAGCUUCAACAAUUUAAAUCGUCUGUCAAAAUUCAAGGCACCUGUCUCUUCUGGCAAGUCUACUCAGUCAGUUUUAAUUUGUGAAUUUGAAUCUGAAUUUUAUUUGUGUGGUCUUUUGUGUAUUAUGUUAUAUGUAUUUUAAUAGGAUUGGGUUUUAUUGCUCUGUUUGAAUUCUGUUGUACCUUGCCUUGAGCCGAAAGGAGAGGCAGGCAGGCCGGCCCAUACCCAAAAAAAAAAAAAAUUGGGAGGGGUUGAAACUGUUUUUCCAAGAUGGCUUUCAGGUCAGUGUCUCCUGGAGAUCUCAACAUUAGUAUCAUUGUACAAAGGUUCUUCACAGGUAAUAGAUCCUGAAUCAUUGCUUCCUCUUUAAGUCAGUUCUUGUAGUUUAGUUUCCACAACUGGCAGAAGUUUCUUUCUGUUUUCUUCUGCUUUCUUCUUAUUUCCUUUAUUAUGAUGAUGGGUUACCUCAAAACGUUUCCCACUGUGAAUUAACAAGAAGUUUUCAGCCAAGCACACGCUGUUCUGAUGGUACUCUGUUUUUUGGUGUCUAUUGAAGACUUGUACUGCAUCUUUUCAUCACACAAAUUGUUUAGCAACCAAUGCACCAAGUUUCUGAUGAACACUUUUACCCCCAACUUCUCCUCCAAACACCACACCGUACUUACAGAGUGCACCUUGUACAUGACAUGAGUAGGCUAACCAGGGAAAUCUUGGAAGAAAAAUACAUGGGGCUACUGUUACUAAGCUUAACACUACUCACAAAGAAUAUGUGUAUCCCUCAUUUUGUUUAAAGACUGACCCAACCCAGCCUGGCUUGAUAAAAACUUACUCUAUUGGGUCUACUCUCAUUUUCCUUGGGUUCGAGCCUAGCUUUAACUGUUUGACAUUGCCAUGUUCUGUUUAAGGAGCGGGAAACUUUGGUCCUGUCUGCAGUUUAAUUAGAGCUCAACGAAUUUGCACUUCCUGAAUUGAUAGGCAAAGUAGAAUGCAGUAAUGUUUUAAUGGCCACACUUAUCGGAAUGUUACGAGGAAAUUCACUGAAGAAAGGAUAUGUACAAACAUGUAUAUUAGGGGAAAGUACUUUUUAAAAAUGUGUAUUUGUUGUGGGGUGGGCGUGGAACACAUAUAUUAUAGCAGUGCGUAAGGAAAAAUAUCUUGCUGUUAAUAUGUGUUUCGGACAAAAAUAUGUAUAUUAGACAGUAAGUGCAAAAAGAUUUUACUCAAGCAUUAGUAAAACCACAAACUCAUGACCAAAUGGAAUGGAAUGGACCAAAGAAUGGGAAAAUGAUAAACAGGGAGAAACUAAUACUGACAGAUUUCUUUCUGGUGUGCUGUUCACUUAAAUCAUAGGCUGCAGUACUUACUGUAUAUAUUCGAGUAUAAGCCUAGUUUUUCAGCCCUUUUUUUAAGACUGAAAAAGUCCCAGGUGAGGGACCUGGUUGGCUUAUAUUUGGGUCAGCUUAUACUCGAGAAUAUAUGGUACAUUUAUUAUUUUUCUCAAUUAUUAUUGGUAUUAUUACAUUUAUUAUUUUUCUCUAUUAUUGUUGCUACUAUUACAUUUAUUUUACUCUAUUUUUUAUUAUUAGUAAUACAUUUAUUAUUUCACUCUGAUCUUAUUAUUAUUAUUACAUUUAUCAUUUUACUCUAUUUAUUAUUACAUGUAUUAUUUUCCUGUAUCAAUUAUUAUUAUUAAUAUUAUUACAUGUAUUAUUUUACUCUAUUAUUAUUAAAAGGAUACAUAAACACAUUUAAACUGAAGAAGAUGAGAAUAAUGAUUUAAUCAGAGUUGGACAGUGUUAUCUUAAAUUUGAACUUUAUGUAAAUAUUCAAAAACAUUUAACCUACUGAUGCCUCAAUUAAUGUAAUGUUAUUGGUAUCUAUUUUUAUUUCCAAAAUUUACCACUCUCGGCUUAUACUUGAGUCAAUGUUUUCCCAGUUUUUUUAUGGUAAAAUUAGGUGCCUCGGCUUAUAUUCCACAAAUUAUGUUGAAUUGGUCUAGACUGUGAGAUAUUCAUUGAAAAACUAUAGCAAAAUGUGCUGCAGAAUGUACCACAUAAACAAAGUAUUUGCAGUUUAAUAAACAUUUUUCCAUGUUUUUAAUAUAAUGACAUUUAUAACCCAGGAGCAAAAAUCGUGUUACGUAAUAUAAUGUUCUGAUCUUUGCUAAUCAAAGUAACAGGGAGCUUCAAUACAGUGAGUACUGACAAAUACACCACAAUUCUUAGCUACCGUGUUCCCCCCAAAAUAAGACAGUGUCUUAUAUUAAUUUUUGCUCCCAAACAUGUGCUAGGUCUUAUUUUUAGAGGAUGCCUUAUUUUUCCAUGAAGAAAAAUUCAUAUUUAUUAUGUACUGUACAGUAGUUGUCAUUACAAA